AUGGUCGCGUUCACCAGAAUAAUCCGAGUGCAAUCCGAUUAAUUUGCGCUGAAACGCUGACAGUUUUUUUACUAGUGAACGACUGACGUUUGACAUUCGAUUGAGAGUGUUCUGUGUUCCAUUUGUUUAUGUUUUUAUUCUUUGUUUAUAUAAUUUAUAACCUAAACCUAGACAGUUUUGUUUUUAUUUUAAAUAAAACUGAAACUGUCUAAACUAAAAUGGAUAAUAUUCUUGAAGAACUUUUGUUUGGGGACGAAAUUAGCAAAUGCCGUUAUACAUUUAGCAGAUGUACCUACCUCAAAUUAUUCCAGAAGGAUGAGAUGAAAUUAAAUAUAUAUAAACCAUAAUUCAAUAUCCAAUUUAGAGAACAUUUUCGUAUGUCCAGAACUACUUUCCAGGAACUAUUUAAUAGUAUUGGUCAUAUCCACCAAUUUGAAAACAGAAUAAUUCUAUUGGAAAAAAUUAAUGUUUAUGAUGUGGAUGCCAAGUAAACCAGAUAAUUUGUUGCUGGGGAUACGUUUGGUUUGCCAAAGAGCUCUGGACAUAAGAUUUUCACCCAAAUAAUAUAGAAUUACAAAAAAUUGGAAAUAACUAAUCUUGAAUAUCAAUGUGUAUAUUGAGUUUAAUUUUAUUGUAAAUAUUCUAUAAUAUAAUUUUAUUGUAAAUAUUGUAUUAACACAUUUGUGGACACAUUUUCAUAUGCAGACAGUAAUUUCCCUUUGUAAGUACAUGCAUAUAUAGUCGUAUCUGCGAAUGGGUUAAUUGUAAAUCGUAAUCAAUAAAAAUUUUUUGUGAAUCAAUAAAAAA